UGGGGAAUUGUUCGCAAUGGGCGCAAGCCUGACGACGCAACGCCGCGUGGAGGAUGAAGGUCUUCGGAUUGUAAACUCCUGUUGACCGGGAAGAAUUUCUCUGGGGUGAAUAUCCCUGGGGGUUGACGGUACCGGUUGAGGAAGCCCCGGCUAACUCUGUGCCAGCAGCCGCGGUAAUACAGAGGGGGCGAGCGUUGUUCGGAAUUACUGGGCGUAAAGGGCGCGUAGGCGGCCGACUAAGUCAGACGUGAAAUCCCCAGGCUCAACUUGGGAACUGCGUCUGAUACUGGACGGCUCGAAUCCGGGAGAGGGAUGUGGAAUUCCAGGUGUAGCGGUGAAAUGCGUAGAUAUCUGGAGGAACACCGGUGGCGAAGGCGGCAUCCUGGACCGGUAUUGACGCUGAUGCGCGAAAGCCAGGGGAGCAAACGGG
rnacentral:rRNA from 1 species